rnacentral:rRNA from 1 species
AUGAUCAUCUUGGCCUGGAACUGUCGGGGAUUGGGGUUGAACCCGACAGUUGGCGAGCUUAGAGACCUGGUAAGGUCUUACAACCCAGCGGUGGUGUUCAUGAGUGAGACAAAGAAGAGGGUGACGGCUAUGGAGAAAUUGAGAUGGAGUUUGGGAUAUAGUAAGGGUAUGGCGGUGGACUGUGUGGGGAGAAGCGGGGGGCUUGCGUUAUGGUGGAGAGAUGAUGUUCAGGUGACGGUG